rnacentral:rRNA from 1 species
GAUCAUGGCUCAGAUUGAACGCUGGCGGCAGGCCUAACACAUGCAAGUCGAGCGAGAAAGGUCUUCGGGCUGAGUACAGCGGCGGACGGGUGAGUAACGCGUAGGAAUCUACCUGGUAGUGGGGGACAACAUGGUGAAAACCAUGCUAAUACCGCAUACGCCCUAUGGGGGAAAGCGGGGGACCUUCGGGCCUCGCGCUAUCAGAUGAGCCUGCGUAGGAUUAGCUUGUUGGUGAGGUAAAGGCUCACCAAGGCGACGAUCUGUAGCGGGUCUGAGAGGAUGAUCCGCCACACUGGAACUGAGACACGGUCCAGACUCCUACGGGAGGCAGCAGUGGGGAAUUUUGGACAAUGGGCGCAAGCCUGAUCCAGCCAUGCCGCGUGAGUGAAGAAGGCCUUCGGGUUGUAAAGCUCUUUCGGCCGGGAAGAAAUCGCACGGGUUAAUACCCUGUGUGGAUGACGGUACCGGAAUAAGAAGCACCGGCUAACUACGUG